rnacentral:lncRNA from 1 species
CAGAGGAGGAGAAACUCCCGAGUGCCCCUCUGUCUCUCUCUGUGCUUCCCUCCCUCAGCAGAAAUACCAUGGUAUUGCUCUCCGUUACCCACCUGUCCAUGCUGCCCUUGUCCUUGCCCUUGGACUCUCUGGGCAGGGGGGUUUCCGAUGCAGUUCAGACACUSACCCUGUGGGGGGGGGGGUCACUCCUUCCACCCAGAGCUUCUCCCUGCAGUGCCCUGGGGAGUUCCCUGGGUAGACUGAGUGCUGAUGUUCACAGGAGACAGAGUCACAGCCCCGGGCACACAGCAUCCUGGGGCACAGGGACACUGCUCUGAAGUACAGCCCUGGGCAGACCUGUGCGCACUCUUUGGCUUCACACCCCUGCAGCCAUCCCUGGAAGAAAGGAGCAAGAUGUCCUGUCCCUCUGACAGUGUUGCUGGGAAUCCCUGCUCUGAAGCAUCUCCUCCCCCACCUAUGCACUGGAGGAACCAGGAGAGUGAUCCUUAAAAAACCUGCCAGCCAUGGGAUGGGAUGGGUUCAGAAGACCCCUCCAGAAAAUCACAGUAGUAUUGCGCUAUAGUCAGAGACUUACUGUGCAAAAGGCUUGAAGAUUUUUCCCGCAGUGAGCUCUCCUCUGUCCUCCCACUCCACACUGCCUUUCACUUCUCUCUCUCUUGUCUCAUCUCAUGUCAGCAGCAGCAGGCAGUGCCCAGAGGUCUGCUGCUCUUUGCAGAGGAGCUGCUCCUGGACAGAGCUGUCUCUUGACACCAUUGUCCCCUCCUUGGCAAUAGUGGCCCAGCUGAAGGCAUGAAUUUCUCUGUCCCUUGUGCUCCCUCCUCUUGGGAAAUGUUCACUGAGGUAAACCAAAAUAGUCACCUUUGAUCCCUCUCUAAACAAUGCAGAGAGACCAGUUACAGUGUUAUCAUUUGUUUCAUCAGACGAUGGUUAUCUACAAGAGGUGGAAACAUCCCACCCUGGAAAUCUGUAUUUCCACAUCUUAACUAGGCAGGACAUCUAGAAGAGGAGGUUUUCAUUCAGAUGAGUCAAUCUGGCAUUUUGUGCCUGUUUAGAAGCCCCUGUGGUGCAUGGGAUGCAGAUCCCUCCCAUAAACUCCACAAACACACAGAAGGUGGGAMUCCCCUUGCCAAAACUGAAGUGAGCACAACACAGAGGUCUGCAYGCGAGCUCCUUGUCUAAGCUCCCAUUGCAGUCACUGGAGAUGGAGGGUGGGAGUCAGUUGCUCACACACAAMCACCUGGUGACAGUUGAAGAGACGGAGGUGGUCCAAGGCAUGUGCCAGUGUCUGCUUGCUCUGCUGGAGCAACUGGGAGACCU